rnacentral:rRNA from 1 species
CCUACGGGAGGCAGCAGUGGGGAAUAUUGGACAAUGGGCGAAAGCCUGAUCCAGCCAUGCCGCGUGUGUGAAGAAGGCCUUCGGGUUGUAAAGCACUUUCAGUGGGGAAGAAAGCCUUGGGGCUAAUACCCUCGAGGAAGGACAUCACCCACAGAAGAAGCACCGGCUAACUCCGUGCCAGCAGCCGCGGUAAUACGGAGGGUGCGAGCGUUAAUCGGAAUUACUGGGCGUAAAGCGCGCGUAGGCGGUCUGAUAAGCCGGUUGUGAAAGCCCCGGGCUCAACCUGGGAACGGCAUCCGGAACUGUCAGGCUAGAGUGCAGGAGAGGAAGGUAGAAUUCCCGGUGUAGCGGUGAAAUGCGUAGAGAUCGGGAGGAAUACCAGUGGCGAAGGCGGCCUUCUGGACUUACACUGACGCUGAGGUGCGAAAGCGUGGGUAGCAAACAGGAUUAGAUACCCGUGUAGUC